rnacentral:rRNA from 1 species
GGACUACACGGGUUUCUAAUCCUGUUUGCUACCCACGCUUUCGUGUCUCAGCGUCAGAAAUGGUCCAGUAAGCUGUCUACACCACAGGUGUUCCUCCUGAUAUCUACGCAUUUCACCGCUACACCAGGAAUUCCGCUUACCUCUCCCAUCCUCGAGCACUCCAGUUUCCGCCGCACCCUCCCAGUUAAGCCGGGAGAUUUCACAACAGACUUAGAGCACCGCCUACACACUCUUUACGCCCAGUAAUUCCGAACAACGCUUGCUGCCUACGUAUUACCGCGGCGGCUGGCAC